UCCUACUGUUUGGUUUAAAAUGAUAGAAAAUGCUCUUAACUUUAUUUUUAUUGCCCUACUUGGAGUUUUUUACUUCACCAGAAAGCGUUGGAGACGUAUUCCCUCGAGCCGAUAUGCUAAUAAACGAUGGUGGGUUCACGCCAUCUGGAGACAGCGCACCAAGCAUUCACAAUUUUCUACAACUAUGCGAAAAUUAAAGAAAGCAAGUGAUAUUAAAAUGAUGAAAAAGUACAUCAGGCUAACUAGUUCAGAAUAUAGAGAGCUGUUAAAUCUAGUUGAGCAUCGUCUGACCAAGACACACUGGCGCGCUUUAUCAGCAGAUUUUAAGCUGUCUUUCACAUUAAGAUAUCUGGCAACUGGAGGUGACAAAACCAGCAUGGCAUAUGGUUAUCUAU